rnacentral:rRNA from 1 species
UACGUAGGGGGGCAAGCGUUGUCCGGAAUCAUUGGGCGUAAAGAGCGUGUAGGCGGUCCGGUAAGUCGGCUGUGAAAGUCCAGGGCUCAACCCUGGGAUGCCGGUCGAUACUGCCGGACUAGAGUUCGGAAGAGGCGAGUGGAAUUCCUGGUGUAGCGGUGAAAUGCGCAGAUAUCAGGAGGAACACCGAUUGCGAAGGCAGCUCGCUGGGACGUUACUGACGCUGAGACGCGAAAAGCGUGGGGGAGCAAACAGG